UUUUUUUUUUUCAAUAUUACAAGGGUGUGUUUGUCCUGUUUUUUCCUCUCAGUGCUUGAUGAACAGAAGAUUACCAAGAAUUGAGGUCAACACCAGCAAUUAUGCUAAUUAAGGGGCAAUAGAAAGAAAAGAUGAAUUGACAUCAUUACUCGAAUCUGAAAAGUGAGACCACUGAUAAAUAGAACCUUCCUGAAAGCUAACCAAAAUAGAAUAUGACCAUUUGAAGAUAAAAAUUAGUCAAUACAAUUAAAAAAAGAAAAUCACAGAAAAGCUGAAAGCCAAUCAUCAUCAUUUAGCAGGAGUUUCAGGGGAUUUAUUUAUUCAUUUAUUUUGAUGAGAGAGUACAUGAAGUUUCUAGGGCCAAAACAAGUGGAAAAUGAUAUCAUCUUGUAGCAAAAGUUCCAAAAGCAAAGGCUAUAAGAGAUGAAAAUAGUUUCAUCAUACAGCACCAAACUUGACACCACUUUUUGAGCAGGAUUAUACUUGUUGGAAUAUAAAACAUAUUCUCUUUUAUCAAGUUGCAAUUAGCAAAGGAGAGAAGGGGUCCUUUUUGAUGAUGUAACUUGAGUAGUGGGUCAUGUAGUGGGUGCAGUUUGCUUAAAAGACAAUUGAGGUCCAUUAGGUAAAGAAGAAGACAGAAAAUUGAAUGAAAGAUGUGAAGCUUACAACAAUAAGGAUUGCAGCCACCACAUAAUAAUAAUAAUAAUAGAUUCCAACUUAGCAAACAAUGAAGAUCCAUGAGAGACACUAUGUUCUUUCAUCAAUGUGGUUGGCAAUCAAUAUUCUACUGAGGCAAAGGUUAUCAUAAUAUUGGUGGAAGGUAUGACAUACUGACAGGGAUUUGUCUUGGGGACCAAUCAAAUAAGCAUAACUUGUGGUCCAUAUAUUGAAAACUGGGAUUCAAGAGAAAGACAUUCCUAAAAAUGGGUCUAAUGUGUGAAAGUAAACUUUACAGUCAUCUCAUCCACAUUUUAAGAGGAAAGAUGUUAAUGGAGUCUUUUCUUGAACAUAAGAAAUAUCAUUCAAGUAUACUCUUCUUUCUCUGAACUCUCUUUAUUUCUGCCUCCGAUAUGUUUAGCUUCUGUCUCUUAAUGUUGCAAGACAGAGAAUCAGAAGAACAUUUUGCUAUUGGUUUUAGACUUAAUACAUAUGGUCCGAUUCCCCAAAUUUAAUUUUCUUUUCUCUUAUCUUAUGGGGAAUCACACGGAGCAUAAAGUGAAACUUGCAAGGAAAAAGAAGAGGAAGAGAUGAACUUACUGCUAUUAUGACACCUGCAAUAAUUUUCAUUCCCAUCACAUGACUCCAAGUGACCUACAACACCAUACCACCAACCUGCAAAUGCAUAUGGCAUAUUCAAUAAAAAUAUUCAAUUAUUCCAAAUUGUAUUAAAAAAAUUCUACAUCCACAUGUUUUUAUUUUUUUAUGUUUAUGUAGGCAUGUUUAAGGGCAAAUGAACUUAAAAAAAUACAAAAACUGGUCCUCUGCUGUCUCUGCAUCUUGCUGACAAGAAGAGUUUUCUAUGAAAAAUUUUCCAUAGAUUUUUUAGUUCAUCAAUAUAUAAAUCAUUUGUCUCCAUCUUUUCUUUUCCAGUCAAUGAUGCUAUGAUUAAGAUUGAAUUGGUCUUCUAUCAUAUAGAUUAUGUUGAAGUUGAACAAUUAUUUUUGUAUUGGUUCUACAAAAUCUUGGAAAAUAUGACAUGGAAAAUCAUUUCCUGGACAUUGUGUUCAUGUUUCAAAGUUUGUCUAAAGGUUUUCAACUAAUUGUGCAAAAUCUUUCCUGAAAACAUUAAAUUUAAGAAGGCAGAAAUGAAUCAAUUUUCAAGCAAACACCAGAUUUAAUAAUACUCUGCAGAUAAAACUAUAAAGAAAUUCUUCAGAUUGGACAGAGGUAGUAAGAACAAACCAUAAGGGAAUUCUUUGUUUCUUCUCCACUGAAUCUCAAUGUGAUCACCAGGACGUAAAUCAUUCAAGCAAUCAGAGAUGUGUAGAUCAUGUCGGGAAGUGUCAACAGGUGGUGCUCUAAGCCUUUCCCAUUGCACACCAGUUUCUAUAGCAACUGCUCUCCUACCAUGUGGUGGGUACCUGGCUCGAAAUGUGUCAGUCUGGGGAUCGUAGCUAAGUUCAGCAUCAUAGCAUGAUAACAUGAACCCAACAUGCCCAUUCUCACGGUUGUAGACCUGAGCUGGGAACCAGAACCUGCCAGUCUCAACAGCAAGGUACCAGGACAUGAUAGAAUUAACACGCGAAGAAUUGCUGUGCUUGAAAUUAUUAUUAUUGUUGUCAUUAUUAUCAUCCUUUGAUUUCAUCAAAGAAAUAGGCCAAACUGUAGAUAGAAGCUUCAUCAAGCCUUUUUGCUUGCCUUGUUCGCAACUUCCAAAAUCCUUGCUUGAAGCUAUUUGAAAUUGCCACUCCCUGUAAGCAGCACGACCAAUAAUCCUACCCCAUUUUUGCUUCAUGUGCCUCUCCCAUAAGUGAUCACUGCUGCACCUUUCCCUCAAAGAAGUACAAACACCAGCCAUAGUACAAAGCCCUGCAGGUGUUAGCCUCUCAAGAAUGCAGUCCAAAGCCAAUUCUGGCAAGUCCAAAACUGACAUCCCUCCAGUGUCAUCCACAGGAUUUUCUAGCUUUCCAUUUGAAGUCAGGUUCAUUUUCUUCAUGGAAAUUUUAGAAUGAAUUGUAGUGAGAUAAGAAGAUCUGAAAAGGGUAUUCCUCAGGGACUCAAAAUAAGAAAACAAAAACAACUCUUUCCAGAACCAAAGAGACAACAAUCUCACCUCACUUGCCCAUGAAGGUAAUGGCUUGAUAGGGAGAGACCUUAAAAAGAUGAAGGAGAAGCAAGUGAUCAAGAAGUAAAGUAACAUUUAGAAAAGGGGAAUUCUAUUUACUGGUCAAAUUCAAGUUUGGCAUAAAUGAUAAGGUGGAAGAAGGUCAAAUGGGGGAACCAUUUGUCUUCUCCUCCUCUUCUCCAACCUCAACAACACCCCACCUUAAAAAAAACAAGAAAAUUAACCAAAGUGGGGAUCUUCAAGAAAAAAUAAUGAAAAUAGCUUUCAAGAUAUGGGUUCCUAUUGGUUGUGAGAAAGCCCACCAAACACAACCAGUGGGCCUCCUCUUCAAAACUCUAAUUAAGAACCAAAUAAAGGCACUAAUCUACUGAAACUCUGCAAAGAACAAAUUCACUUUGGCAAGAUGUCACCUUAUAACACCAUUAACUCUCUGUCUCUCUCGUUCAGAGAAACAGACAACUAAAUAGCUGUCAAUCAAAGAGAGGAUUUUUACAAGAGAGAGAACAAAUUGGGGGUUGUAUUGGAUGGACCCUGUAAAUGAACAAGGGCCAAUGAAAUAUGGUGGGUAUUAGGAUCUGAUAUGGGUGAUAUGGCCCUCUGACACCUGGAAAUCCCAAGAAAAAGAAUGGGAGAUCGUCUAGAUACAGAUACCCAUAUCAACAAAAAUCUGAAUUUUUGGGUAAAACAAAUAAAAACACUGAAAAUUUUAUCAAAGCCAAGUGAAUACAGAUCUGAGUUUGUUGGGAAUGAAGCCACCCAACAAUCUCAGGAUCUGUAUAUUUCGAGAAAAAAAAAAAAAACU
rnacentral:misc_RNA from 1 species